GGUGCUCUUCUGUAAUUUUACCGUGGUUAUCACGUCUGCUUCACACGCAGAAGGUCGCCGGUUCGAACCCGGCCAGGACCU
rnacentral:tRNA from 16 species